AUGGAGGGUGAUCUGUCUUCAAGUAGGGAUAAAUUUACUCUAAAAGAAAUGAAUCCUAGACAGUUUUCCCUGCAAGUCAAGCAUCUUGU
rnacentral:pre_miRNA from 1 species